rnacentral:rRNA from 1 species
ACGGAGGGUGCAAGCGUUAACCGGAAUUACUGGGCGUAAAGGGCACGCAGGCGGUUUGAUAAGUCAGAUGUGAAAUCCCCAUGCUAAACCUGGGAACUGCAUCUGAUACUGGUAAACUAGCGUAACGUCGAGGCGGGUAGAAUGCCAGGUGUAGAGGUGAAAUGCAUAGAUAUCUGGAAGAAUAUCGAUCGCGAAGGCAGCCUCCUAGGAUGAGACUGACGCUGAGGAUCGAAAGCGAGGGGAGCAAACAG